GAUGAAGAACGCAGCGAAAUGCGAUAAGUAAUGUGAAUUGCAGAAUUCAGUGAAUCAUCGAAUCUUUGAACGCACAUUGCGCCCGCCAGUAUUCUGGCGGGCAUGCCUGUUCGAGCGUCAUUACAACCCUCAGGCCCCCGGGCCUGGCGUUGGGGAUCGGCGGAGCCCCCCGUGGGCACACGCCGUCCCCCAAAUACAGUGGCGGUCCCGCCGCAGCUUCCAUCGCGUAGUAGCUAACACCUCGCGACUGGAGAGCGGCGCGGCGACGCCGUAAAACACCCAACUCUUCUGAAGUUGACCUCGAAUCAGGUAGGAAUACCCGCUGAACUUAAGCAUAUCAAUAAGCGGAGGA
rnacentral:misc_RNA from 1 species